UAAUACGUAGGGGGCAAGCGUUGUCCGGAUUUAUUGGGCGUAAAGAGCGUGUAGGCGGCUUGGUAGGUCUCGCGUCAAAACCUGCGGCUCAACCGCAGUUCGCGUGGGAAACCACCUAGCUAGAGUCCGGAAGAGGAGAACGGAAUUCCCAGUGUAGCGGUGAAAUGCGCAGAUAUUGGGAAGAACACCAGUGGC
rnacentral:rRNA from 1 species